rnacentral:rRNA from 1 species
CACGUAGGGGACGAGCGUUGUCCGGAUUCAUUGGGCGUAAAGAGCUCGUAGGCGGCUGCUCAAGUCAGUUGUGAAAUCUCCGAGCUUAACUCGGAAAGGUCAACUGAUACUGUGCGGCUAGAGUGCAGAAGGGGCAACUGGAAUUCUUGGUGUAGCGGUGAAAUGCGUAGAUAUCAAGAGGAACACCUGCGGCGAAGGCGGGUUGCUGGGCUGACACUGACGCUGAAGCGCGAAAGCCAGGGGAGCGAACGGG